rnacentral:ncRNA from 1 species
GUGUUUUAUGAAAAGAGAUAAGGUUAGCACUCCCCUUGAUAAGGAUGGAAGUGAUCCUAGUGGCUUUUACAACACAUAUUCUUUAAGGUAUUGCCACCUACUCUGUGGCAUUUAACAGUGCUUUUUU